CCUUCCUAAAAUAAUGGCCUAAGUCAUUUUUUCAGUUUUUUCAAAAAACACAAAAAACUAAACGGCCUAAGUCACAUGCUUGACAUAGGCAAUUAUACUCAAGCUGUAGAAUCACAAGACCUGUUCAACUGAGGAUGUAGGCAAUUUUACCAGAGGUGGCCAGCACCAUGGAGG